CUUGCUUUCUUUGCUGGCGACCGGCGCACGGGUGAGUAACACGUAUCCAACCUGCCCUUUACUCGGGGAUAGCCUUUCGAAAGAAAGAUUAAUACCCGAUAGCAUAAUGAUUCCGCAUGGUUUCAUUAUUAAAGGAUUCCGGUAAAGGAUGGGGAUGCGUUCCAUUAGGUUGUUGGUGGGGUAACGGCCCACCAAGCCUUCGAUGGAUAGGGGUUCUGAGAGGAAGGUCCCCCACAUUGGAACUGAGACACGGUCCAAACUCCUACGGGAGGCAGCAUG
rnacentral:rRNA from 1 species